AGUAUGGACCUAUUCGUAAUAUUGUUCUAAAGAUCCUUCCAAGGCCUCCAAGUUAUGCAUUUGUCGAGUUUGAGGAGGCUCGUGAUGCUGAAGAUGCAAUCCGCGGUCGUGAUGGAUAUAAUUUUGAUGGUAGCAGGCUACAGGUGGAACUUGCGCAUGGUGGAAGAGGCCAUUCUUCGUCUUUUGAUCGUCCUCGCAGUUACAAUGGAGGAACUU